CCUACGGGUGGCAGCAGUGGGGAAUAUUGCACAAUGGGCGAAAGCCUGAUGCAGCAACGCCGCGUGAAGGAUGACGGUUUUCGGAUUGUAAACUUCUGUUCUUAUUGAAGAAUAAUGACGGUAACUAAGGAGCAAGCCACGGCUAACUACGUGCCAGCCGCCGCGGUACUACGUAGGUGGCAAGCGUUGUCCGGAAUUACUGGGUGUAAAGGGAGCGUAGGAGGGAAGUGAAGUCAGCUGUGAAAACUACGGGCUUAACCUGUAGACUGCAGUUGAAACUGGCUGUCUUGAGUGAAGUAGAGGUUGGCGGAAUUCGGAGUGUAGCGGUGAAAUGCGUAGAUAUUCGGAGGAACACCGGUGGCGAAGGCGGCCAACUGGGCUUUAACUGACGCUGAGGCACGAAAGCGUGGGUAUCGAACAGGAUUAGAUACCCCUGUAGUC
rnacentral:rRNA from 1 species